rnacentral:rRNA from 1 species
CGCGUGGGGGAGGAGGCCUUUGGGUUGUAACCCCUUUUGUUAGGGAAGAAAAAAAUGACGGUACCUAACGAAUCAGCCUCGGCUAACUCCGUGCCAGCAGCCGCGGUAAUACGGAGGAGGCAAGCGUUAUCCGGAAUUAUUGGGCGUAAAGCGUCCGUAGGUGGCCCGGCAAGUCUGCUGUCAAAGACCACAGCUCAACUGUGGAAAGGCAGUGGAAACUGCAAGGCUAGAGUGCGGUAGGGGUAGAGGGAAUUCCCAGUGUAGCGGUGAAAUGCGUAGAGAUUGGGAAGAACACCCCGGUGGCGAAA